rnacentral:rRNA from 1 species
UACGAAGGGGGCUAGCGUUGCUCGGAAUCACUGGGCGUAAAGGGUGCGUAGGCGGGUCUUUAAGUCAGGGGUGAAAUCCUGGAGCUCAACUCCAGAACUGCCUUUGAUACUGAAGAUCUUGAGUUUGGGAGAGGGAUGCGGAAUUCCAGGUGUAGCGGUGAAAUGCGUAGAUAUCUGGAGGAACACCGGUGGCGAAGGCGGCAUCCUGGACCAACACUGACACUGAGGAGCGAAAGCCAGGGGAGCAAACGGG